CCUGGCAGCCAUAGCGCGGUGGACCCACCUGAACCCAUGCCGAACUCAGAAGUGAAACGCCGUAGCGCCGAUGGUAGUGUGGGGUCUCCCCAUGCGAGAGUAGGACACUGCCAGGC
rnacentral:rRNA from 1 species